rnacentral:rRNA from 1 species
UACGUAGGGUGCAGGCGUUAAUCGGAAUUACUGGGCGUAAAGCGUGCGCAGGCGGUUUGCUAAGACAGGUGUGAAAUCCCCCGGGCUUAACCUGGGAACUGCGCUUGUUACUGGCAGGCUUGAGUGUGGCAGAGGGGGGGUGGAAUUCCACGUGUAGCAGUGAAAUGCGGUAGAGAUGUGAGGAACACCGAUGGCGGAAGGCAGCCCCCUGGGCUAACCAC